rnacentral:rRNA from 1 species
GAGUGGCGAACGGGUGAGUAACGCGUAGGUGAUCUACCUUCAGGUGGGGGACAACCCGGGGAAACCCGGGCUAAUACCGCAUGUGGCUGAAAAGCAAAGCCGGCCUCUGUUUACAAGCUGGUGCCUGGAGCUGAGCCUGCGUCUGAUUAGCUUGAUGGUGGGGUAACGGCCUACCAUGGCGAUGAUAAGUAGGCGGCUUUAACGAGUGGCCGCCCACACUGGGAUUGAGAAACGGCCCAGACUCCUACGGGAGGCAGCAGUCGAGAAUAGUCUACAAUGGUCGGAAGACUGAUAGUGCGACGCCGCGUGAACGAGGAAGCCUUUCGGGGUGUAAAGUUCUUUUCUAUGGGAGCAGGGCAUCCCUGGUUAACAGCGAGGGGUGUUUGAUAUUACUAUAGGAAUAAGCCACGGCUAACUCCGUGCCAGCAGCCGCGGUAAUACGGGGGUGGCGAGCGUUGUCCGGAAUUACUAGGCGUAAAGGGCAGGCAGGCGGAUUUGUAAGUUAAUCGUUAAAGGCCCGUGCUCACCAUGGGUAGGGCGGUUGAUACUGCGGAUCUGGAAGCGAGUGGGGGGAGACGGAAUUCCCGGUGUAGCGGUGGAAUGCGCAGAUAUCGGGAGGAACACCGAAGGCGAAGGCAGUCUUCUACGCUUGUCUUGACGCUCAACUGCGAAGGUGCGGGUAUCAAACAGGAUUAGAUACCCUGGUAGUCCGCACAGUAAACGAUAAUCACUGGGUGUCGGUCGGAUAUGCCGGUCGGUGCCGUAGCAAACGCGUUAAGUGAUUCGCCUGGGGAGUACGAUCGCAAGGUUGAAACUCAAAGGAAUUGACGGGGGCCCGCACAAGCGGUGGAGCAUGUGGUUUAAUUCGAUGCAACGCGAAGAACCUUACCUGGGCUUGACAUCUGCCGGAUCCUUCAGAGAUGAGGGAGUGCCUUUCGGGGAACGGCAAGACAGGUGCUGCAUGGCUGUCGUCAGCUCGUGUCGUGAGAUGUUGGGUUAAGUCCCGCAACGAGCGCAACCCCUUUCUCCAGUUGCCAUCAUUAAGUUGGGGACUCUGGAGAGACCGCUGCAGUAACAAUGCAGAGGAAGGUGGGGACGACGUCAAGUCAUCAUGGUCCUUAUGUCCAGGGCUACACACGUGCUACAAUGGUAGUUACAGAGGGGAGCGAGGGAGUGAUCCGGAGCGAAUCUCAGAAAAGCUGCCACAGUUCGGAUUGGGGUCUGCAACCCGGCCCCAUGAAGCUGGAAUCGCUAGUAAUCGCGUAACAGCAUGACGCGGUGAAUACGUUCCCGGGCCUUGUACACACCGCCCGUCAAGUCAGCCGAGUGGAGUGCACCCGAAGCAGGUGAGCGAACCCUUAGGGGUAGCAGCUUUCGAAGGUGUGCUUCGUGAGGAGGACUAAGUCGUAACAAGGUAGCGUACCGGAAGGUGUGGAUGGAUCACCUCCUU